rnacentral:rRNA from 1 species
UACGUAGGGCGCAAGCGUUGUCCGGAAUUAUUGGGCGUAAAGAGCUCGUAGGCGGUCUGUUACGUCCGCUGUGAAAACCCAGGGCUUAACCCUGGGCUUGCAGUGGAUACGGGUAGACUAGAGGCAGGUAGGGGAGAAUGGAAUUCCCGGUGUAGCGGUGAAAUGCGCAGAUAUCUGGAGGAAUACCGGUGGCGAAGGCGGCAUCCUGGACCAUUACUGACGCUGAGGCGCGAAAGCUAGGGGAGCAAACGGG